AGUAGCCUAAAUCUAUAUAUCCUUGAUCUUGAUAACGCAGAUGGUGUACAGAAAGUACGCAUGGUGUAUCAAAAUACGUCCUGUGCGGUUUUGAAAUGUGAGUUUUGGUGGUUUUGGUCUGCCCAGGGAAAACUGGAAUUCGAGAAGAAGGUUCAGGAAGACAAAGGUACGUAAA